UACGGAGGGUGCAAGCGUUAAUCGGAAUUACUGGGCGUAAAGCGCACGCAGGUGGCUGAGUCAGUCGAUUGUGAAAGCCCUGGGCUUAACCUGGGAAUUGCAGUCGAUACUACUUAGCUAGAGUAUGGGAGAGGGCAGUGGAAUUCCCGGUGUAGCGGUGAAAUGCGUAGAUAUCGGGAGGAACAUCAGUGGCGAAGGCGGCUGCCUGGCCCAAUACUGACACUCAGGUGCGAAAGCGUGGGGAGCAAAC
rnacentral:rRNA from 1 species